CAGGGCGUAGUUCAGACGGUAGAACGCUGGUUUCGGGAACCAGAGGUCCGGGGUUCAAAUCCCCGCGCCCUGACCA
rnacentral:tRNA from 1 species